CAGAGUCGUAAAACACUCCCAAACCCUUUGUAAAUCUACCUGUUUCGUUGCUUCGGCAGGCGAUCCCAGGGCGGGAUCGUGGCUGCAAGGCGCCUGCCGAAGAACUCACAAACUCUUGUUUCUGUGGUCUUCAGAGUAAACAUACAAAUAAGUUA
rnacentral:misc_RNA from 1 species